rnacentral:rRNA from 1 species
UUACCUUCGGGUAUUGAGGAUGGCGGACGGGUGAGUAACGCGUAAGGAACUUGCCUCUUGGUCUGGGACAACUGUUGGAAACGACAGCUAAUACCGGAUAUUAUGAGAUUCUCGCAUGGGAAACUUAUGAAAGCUAUAUGCGCCAAGAGAGAGCCUUGCGUUCCAUUAGCUAGUUGGUGGGGUAACAGCCCACCAAGGCGACGAUGGAUAGCCGGCCUGAGAGGGUGAACGGCCACAAGGGGACUGAGACACGGCCCUUACUCCUACGGGAGGCAGCAGUGGGGAAUAUUGGACAAUGGGCCACAAGCCUGAUCCAGCAAUUCUGUGUGCACGAUGAAGGUCUUCGGAUUGUAAAGUGCUUUCAGUUGGGAAGAAGAAAGUGACGGUACCAACAGAAGAAGCGACGGCUAAAUACGUGCCAGCAGCCGCGGUAAUACGUAUGUCGCAAGCGUUAUCCGGAUUUAUUGGGCGUAAAGCGCGUCUAGGCGGAAAAAUAAGUCUGAUGUUAAAAUGCGGGGCUCAACUCCGUAUUGCGUUGGAAACUGUUUUUCUAGAGUACUGGAGAGGUGGGCGGAACUACAAGUGUAGAGGUGAAAUUCGUAGAUAUUUGUAGGA